GGGCCAUAUUCCAGGUUGCAGAAAAAUCCCGAAUGUCAUUCUGCUACUGGAGUGUGAAUAGCACAUAGCCAUGCUGGGCAGUUGUUGAUCUGCUCCUUUUCUCCUCACACGUACUGAGCUGCUGGGCUGGGCUGUGACAUUAGCCCCUGUAGCAGGGAGGAGGCAGCUGCAGGAGCAGCAGAGUACAAAGAGAAAGCUUUCUGCAGCCUGGAGGGUUUGCCUCCCUCCCCCAUCUACCAGGUUUUUACAUCUGCUCCUGUAGUCACCAAAGACAGAAAGACAUAGCAACCCACAACAAACCCACAGAGGCAGAGCUGUGAAGCUCUCCCCAGAAAGCUGACUUACGCUAAACCUCUCCACUCCUUCUCGUCACUCUGCAUCUGGCUCUGCUGUGACUGCUGCCUCCAGAUGAGCUACACCCAGUUGCCAGAACUACUUUGGCCUGUAAGCGCAGGUGUCUCUGGUUACCUUUAGAGCUUUUGGAUUUUUUGUCUUCUCAAUUAUAUAAUUGUUCUAAUUUGCUAAAAAAGAAGUCUAUCUGAAAAAGCCAGGAAGACAGAACACCACUCUUGUUUUUUUCUUCCCUUAUCUCGUCUAGGAUAGUUGACUUCUUUAACGUUCAUUUUCAACAGCCUUUUUCAGCUUCCUGCCUCUGCUGUGUUUCCACCUUUGGAUGGGCAGGAGUUGAACUGUGGCAUCUGGCAGAAGCCAGCUUUAACGUGGGAUUUAUCCUGAAUAAAAUACUUGCAGAAGGAAAAGAAACGUCAUUUGACUCACUGAAGAUUUAAAACCAACAGAGUCAUGUGGGAGAAAAUGAAAUUUUAGUCUCAAGUGGCAGAAUCGAGUCAUAAGAAGUAAAGAGAUUUGGAUGGUUUCUCACUAAAUGGAAAUUAUAUAGAAGGCUUCUAAGACCACUGCAUCUCUCCAUCCCGCUCCUGCUGCACAGAGACUGCACUCU
rnacentral:lncRNA from 1 species